UCCGAGCCUGGGCUAAGGAUGGGAGGCGGUCCGCUGGCACCGGGUUGGCGGGAACCUGAUCCGGAGAAGGAACGUGCGUGAGAGCGAGCGCAGGCGACUGACAGAGGAACCGACAGCAGACGGAGGGAGAGUUCUCCCUAGGACCAGACCGGAGGCGUGACUGCUGAAUCCACUUUCUCCCCACACACAACGUCCAGUGAUGUGCACCCAGCAAGCGCCCGUGGGAUCCUUCUGAACGGAAGAAAUUCUGCUCUCUGUCAGCCUGUGCUGUUAGGUGUCCCCAGGAAACCCACGCGUCUUCUGCGGACAGACCUGGCUCGAGAACAGGUACGUUUAUUGGAUUCCGAACUUGUGGUCGCAUCAGGGAGCGCGGCAGCUCACCUGACCCUGCCAGGCUUGUCUCCCAGCCGGAGGGUCGAAGGAAGGGCUUUUCCUCCUGAAGGUCAAAGGUCUAAAUUCAGACAGUCAUUUGGGGUGUGUUUAGCAAGGGUAACGUGGCAUUCCACGUUUAUUGACCCUUUACCAGGUAUCAGGCAGUAUUCUCCAUGUGUCUCUCUAUCCCCUGAUCUAAUCCCCUCUCACAGACCCCUCGUUUUGCAAGGUUUCCGUGCUCAUUGCCAAGGCGAGAAAGUGGAAUACGGAGAGGUUGGGGGACCCGCUCUGAGUCACACAGGCCAUCAGAGGAGGAGGGACACCCAGACGUAUGCAUCCAGGACUCAGAGCCCACACACUUGACUUUUGAAGUUAAAGUUGACAUGGGGUACUAUAUUCCUUUUAGGUGCACAGAAAGGUGCACAGUGUGUUUAUACAUUAUGAAAUGAGGACCACGAUGAGUAUGGCCACCAUCUGUCACCAUGCAGACUUAUCACAAUAUUGUGGACUCUCUCUCCCGCAUUGUAUGUUCCGUUCCCCUGAUUUAUGUAGUUUAUGACUGGAAGUCUGUAUCUCUUAACCCCCUUCCCCUCUGGCAGCCACCGGUUAGUUAGAUAUGGAAGUACCUCUGACUCUGUUUCCGCUUUGUUCUCUGUGUUCGCUUGAUUUAUUUUUGAGGUUCCAUAUGGAAGUGUAAUCAUGUGCUAUAUGGCUUUCCUCCCUGUCUGACUUAUUUCCCUUAGCAUAAUGCCCUCUAGGUCCUUCCGUGUUGCUGCGAAUGGCAUGAUGUCAUUCUUUUUUUACGGCUGAGGAACAUUCCAUCAUGUAUAUGUACACACACGCACGAACGCACAACACUUUUUUGUCCAUUCAUCCAUCAGUAGGCACUUAGGUUGCUGCUAUAUCUUGGCUCUUGUGAAUAAUGCUGCAGUGAACAGAGGAGUACAUAUAUCUUUUCUGAUUUCUUAUUUGUUGUUGUUGUUUUGUUUUGUUUUCUUUAGAUAAACACCAAGAAGCAGAACUGCUGGAUCAUAUGGUAGUUCUAGUUUUUCUCUGUCGAGGAAACCCCAUACUAUUCUCUACAGUGUCUACACCAAUUUAUAUUCCCACCAACAGUGCAUGACGGCUCCCUUUUUUUCCUCAUCCUCGCCAAGAUUUCCCCUUCGUUGUCUGCUUCAAUAAUAGCCAGUUAAUAGGCAGGAGGAAAUAUCUCGUUGUGGUCUUGACUUUUCUUUUCC
rnacentral:lncRNA from 1 species